rnacentral:rRNA from 1 species
AUGAUUCAUCAGAUGAGGAUAGCCACUAAAAAACCAGUAGCCAAGAAAGUAGUAGAAUCUAGUGAAAGUUCUGAUUCUGACUCUGAGGAGGAUACCACUGCUAAACCAGUUAAGAAGAAUAAAGAAUCUAGUGAUAGCUCAGAUUCCGACUCAGAUUCAGAUUCUGAAGAAGAUACCACUGCUAAAACAGUUUCUGUAAAGAAAGAAGAAUCUAGUGGUAGCUCAGAUAAUGACUCGGAUUCCGAUUCUGAUGAACCAGCAAAAUCUACUAUUCCUGCUAAGAGGCUUCUGACAACAGAGAAAAAGAGUGAACAUUCCAAGGAUGAUUCUGAUGAUAGUUCUGAUGAGAGUGAUGAAGAGCCUGCACUAAAGAAGCCUAAGGAAUUUUUGGUGUUUGCUUUUUCAUCUGAAGAUUUUGGUCUCUUAGGUUGCCAAGAAAGAAAGCAGUGGUGA